CCUACGGGCGGCAGCAGUGGGGAAUAUUGGACAAUGGGCGAAAGCCUGAUCCAGCCAUGCCGCGUGUGUGAAGAAGGCCUUCGGGUUGUAAAGCACUUUCAGUGGGGAAGAAAGCCUUGGGGCUAAUACCCUCGAGGAAGGACAUCACCCACAGAAGAAGCACCGGCUAACUCCGUGCCAGCAGUCGCGGUAAUACGGAGGGUGCGAGCGUUAAUCGGAAUUACUGGGCGUAAAGCGCGCGUAGGCGGUCUGAUAAGCCGGUUGUGAAAGCCCCGGGCUCAACCUGGGAACGGCAUCCGGAACUGUCAGGCUAGAGUGCAGGAGAGGAAGGUAGAAUUCCCGGUGUAGCGGUGAAAUGCGUAGAGAUCGGGAGGAAUACCAGUGGCGAAGGCGGCCUUCUGGACUGACACUGACGCUGAGGUGCGAAAGCGUGGGUAGCAAACAGGAUUAGAUACCCCAGUAGUC
rnacentral:rRNA from 1 species